GACAGAGGGUGCAAACGUUGUCCGGAAUUACUGGGCGUAAAGCGCGUGUAGGCGGAUGGGCAAGUCUGCUGUGAAAGCUCCUGGCUUAACCGGGAGUGGUCGGUGGAAACUGCCAAUCUGGAGGACGGUAGAGGUAGGUAGAAUUCCCGGUGUAGAGGUGAAAUUCGUAGAUAUCGGGAGGAACACCGGUGGCGAAGGCGGCGACCUGGGUCGAUACUGACGCUGAGGUGCGAAAGCGUGGGGAGCAAACAGG
rnacentral:rRNA from 1 species